GCUCCUCUGCAGUCACGUUAUUACUACACGCGUGCUGUAGCUGCUAGGAUCCAUCGUUCAUUUUAAUCCAAUGGCUCAAUCGCUGGGUGACAAGCCUCGCACCGGCCACUCAUAAAAAAAAGACCCACAUGCCACACUGUUCCCCUCUCUGUCUUGUCUCCUUCCUCUAGAGAGGACUGGUCACUGUUUUUCCCCACCGCAAGCGCUGCUCCGGCCAAAUCCGGUCAGCUUGUACUGCUCCGGCGAUGCCCUCCCUUCGUAGGCUCACCUCUUUGCGCUGCUUCUUAUCCAUCCGCGUGCCCCCAUGGCUUCUAACGGCUGCUGCAAUGAAUGUUCGGGGGAUGAAGGUGCCGCGCGAAUCCACCUGAGACGCUGCUGCCGCACAAUGGCGAGCUCAACGAGCCCGACGACGACGGCAAGCUGGAGGCUCAUACCGGCGGGCUCGAUAAGGAAUACGAGGACGGCGAUUCCCAGAGUAGCCCGAGCGACCUGGAAGCGGAGGAGGGUAGCAGCCAUAGGAGGGGUCGUCUACGCCAUAGGAGGGUAGCAGCCAGAGGACGGCGAUUCUCAUAUGCCUGGGCCGCCGGCCCGCCGCGCUGCGACGCCCUUCACGAUGGGCGCCCCAAGAUUCUUCGACCGCAGGAGGCGUCUGACGGCAGCGGCGUGUCUCCGGCCAAAUCCGGUCAAAUCCACUGGAAAAACAGUGGCAGCGGCGCGGCAGCGGGACCUCGCAGCCCUCCUGCCCAGCCAAGCGACAAGCCCCGAUAGCAGAACCCAAUGGUCGUCGCGCAGCAGCUUUCUUGAUGUUAGAAGAGUGAAAGCAGAGCAAGGGAGAGCAUGUGAUUGUUUGAUAAUCCGUUAAUUCUUCACGGCCAUAUGAUGCUGUCCAACCAAGUUUGUGUUUCCACAUUGCUUCUUAUGGACUUGAAAGCGUCUUCAAAGGCUUCCUCUUCCUCAUACUUGUACAUGCAAGCACUGAAAUCAGCAAGUACAUUUGGUCCAUCCUCGUCUUUUUUCUUAUGAGCUUCACCAUACAUCAGGUCCCUUUGUCGCUUGGUUCGGAAGUGGUUCUUGCGAUCACGACAUGUGUAGCCAAGGUUUAGUGGACCACCAACUUGUCGACUUGCUAGCUCAUGGGCUUUUCUAGGUACAAUUCCUGAAUCAUCUGUUGUUUCAAUUUCAAAUGCUUGCAAGGCCGAAAUCUUCCUCUGUGAUGGCAUCAAGUGGCUGGUCCCAAGUAAUUGCAAGACAUGGUUGUGUUCAACAACUAACUCAUGCACCUCAUAAUUUCCUGCUUCUCGGUCUAUAGUAAUUCCCAUUCGAACAUUGCAGCCGGUCCUUGUUUCUGCACGAGGACGCUUUGUACUAUUAUCCCUUUUGUCUUUUCUUCUGUAGCCCUCAUUGGAACAAACAUAUCUUGCUGAAGUGAUUACUCCAUCGAGUUUGCUCUUGUUUUCAUAAUUUAUCCUUACAUCAAAACCAAUAUGACCUCCAUAACAUGUCCAAAAGUUCCAAGCCUCUUUUGUGGAAUUGAAUUUCAUACCAAUCUGAGGCAUCCAACUAGGAACCACAUUUUUCCUAUAAAAAUUACACAUAAAUUAUUUGUUUGUAUGUUUACACUACAAUCAUAAGGUGAUAUGACCUGAGAAUUUAACAAAACUGUCGGUACCUGUUAGCAUCCUCAUUAGAGCUAGUCAUAUUCUCCAUUAGACUUUCUCUUCUUUUUUGUUGCUAGGAGAAGGACAACAAAAGGGAGAUCAUCUGCAUUAAUCUC